rnacentral:snoRNA from 1 species
AACCCAUGGAGGACAUCUUCUCAAUAAAUCCUUAUAUCUCUCUCAUGCAUCAUAUAGAGUCUUUAAGUCAAUCUGCACGAAGGAAGAGAUAUCAUUCCUCAACUU